rnacentral:lncRNA from 1 species
AUGCUGACAACAAAAGAAAUUAAUGUAGUUGCCCUCCCCCCAUUAGUUUUUGGCUUCUCACCUCGAGGACCCCACGCUCCUCACGGCUGUGGCUGGACGGGUACCGAGGCAUGGACGUGGCUCGGCGCUGUGCUGUUGAUAUUCUGUUUGUGCUGCCAUAGAAACCUGCGCUCCCGCUGCCGGGUAACACGUGUAGCUGGGCCCCCUGUGGCUGGGACAAGAGUCCCUGGCCUGGUGCAGCAGAGAGAAGGCUCCCAGGGUCCAACUGCAGUGAGAAGCAUCAUGACACAGGAAACUCCCUGUGUACCCAGGAUACUGCACAGGUCACUGAGCAGCCAUCUCCCCAUUGCCUGGAGUCUUCUCAAGGAGACUCACUUGGUUAAGUUUUUCGCUUCAAUUUCUUCAAAGUGAGUUUUCCAGACAUGAAGAACACCAAGAAAAGCCUGACUCACCCUCCAGCUAUUGAAGGAGAAAUGCCCCCAGAGAUUGCUUUGCAAGAUCCGUGAGCUCAGCUCUCAUCUUUGCAGACAGGCUGAUGGAGCAGGACUCAUUCAGGUCUUCCUACCACUGACCCUUACACCCAGUGUCUUCCUGGGCUACCUCACCCAACAUGAAGACCAGAGGCCUUCGGUGGUCUUUCCCAAAUGGUAUUGUUUUGUGGUUCAGCCAUCUCCAGCUGUGUUUGCAUCAGGCUCUGUAAGCUCCUGACCCCAGGUCCAGCCUCCUGCCCCAAGCAGGGCUAACUUAGGCUGCCCAAGGCCUUUCCCAGCUGAUUUGAAGAUCUCUGAGGAUGCAGGUUUCGGGAAUUCUCCAGACAACAGAGGGUAAGAUCUGGGAGGCUGAGCUCGGGCCCCUGAGCGGCCCCACUGCCUUGCUCUGGUAAUGAUAUAAAUAAAUGAUAUUGUUGCAAUUUCA